UGUCCUACGGGGGGCAGCAGUGGGGAAUAUUGCACAAUGGGGGAAACCCUGAUGCAGCGACGCCGCGUGAGUGAAGAAGCGUUUCGGCGCGUAAAGCUCUGUCAGCGGGGAAGAAACACGGUUCGCGAGAGCCGCGGACGGUACCCGACCAAGAAGCCCCGGCUAACUACGUGCCAGCAGCCGCGGUAAUACGUAGGGGGCAAGCGUUAUCCGGAUUCACUGGGUGUAAAGGGAGCGUAGACGGCGAGACAAGUCUGGAGUGAAAGGCCGGGGCUUAACCCCUGAACUGCUUUGGAAACUGCCAU
rnacentral:rRNA from 1 species